GGCUGCGUGCUCCGGCGCGGGCGGCGCGCGUUCGGGGUCUCGGCACGCGAGAGCCCUUGGCUUGUCGGUCGUUGGGACCACGCUGCCCGCUCCACGCCACCUCUCACGGUCGUAAUGAAGUCUAAGGCCCGUGGCUUCCCCACAUCAUCCCCUGGGAGGUGGACUCAGGCUGUCUCAGGAGAAAUUGCGGAUGGAGGAAGAGGAUUUCCGAGAGAGAUCCCGGGUCCCAGUAACAGUCAUUGUCCUUAUCACCUGGACUAUGGUCUUGAAAUACCAUGUCCCACUAAAAGAAACAAGGGCUUCUUGGAUGGAUGAUUCUAGAUCUGGGACAGGAAAUGCAUAGAAUGAACAUGAUAUAUCUUGUCAUACUAGAGAGCAGAGGAGCUAUUAAAGUCUUCUAGGGUCAUGUCCAGGGGACCUAGAAGCCAACUUCAAGUGGCUCCCUUUGGCCAAAGAUGAGAACACCUAUUGAAAUGAAACAAAGGAAUACAUUUAUAAACCUACAAGGUGGAUGUAGUUUUGCAAGAUAGAAGGUCACUGACUUAAGGAGGAGAGGCUUGGAACUGGAGGUGUAAGGUACUCUGCAUAGUGGAAAUGAAGCACAGUGCUGACAGGAAGUUUAAAUAAAAGUCUUUAUCAGU